rnacentral:misc_RNA from 1 species
UGGUGAACCAGCGGAGGGAUCAUUACCGAAGUUACCUUCAAAACCCACUGUGAACCUUACCUCUUGCCGCGUUGUCUCGGCGGGAGGCGGUGUGCGUCGCGCGCCCUAGCGGGCCGUGCCGCUCCCGUCCCCGCCGGCAGCGCCAAACUCUAAAUGCACAGCGGACUGUACGUUCUGAUUUACAAAAAAAACAAGUUAAAACUUUCAACAACGGAUCUCUUGGUUCUGG